AGAAUCAACGCUGGCGGCGUGCCUAACACAUGCAAGUCGAACGAGAAAGUGGAGCAAUCCAUUAGUAAAGUGGCGCACGGGUGAGUAACACGUGACUAACCUACCCUUGAGUGGGGGAUAACCUAGGGAAACCUGGGCUAAUACCGCAUAAUACCUUCGGGUCAAAGGAGCAAUUCGCUUAAGGAGGGGGUCGCGGCCGAUUAGUUAGUUGGCGGGGUAAUGGCCCACCAAGACGAUGAUCGGUAUCCGGCCUGAGAGGGCGCACGGACACACUGGAACUGAAACACGGUCCAGACUCCUACGGGAGGCAGCAGUGGGGAAUUUUGCGCAAUGGGGGAAACCCUGACGCAGCAACGCCGCGUGGAGGAUGAAGCCCCUUGGGGCGUAAACUCCUUUCGAUCGGGACGAUUAUGACGGUACCGGAAGAGAACGCCCGGCUAACUCGCGCCAGCAGCCGC
rnacentral:rRNA from 1 species